CACGGCGGAUACCUUGGCACACAGAGGCGAUGAAGGACGUGGUUACCUGCGAUAAGUCUCGGGGAGCUGGAAACACGCUUUGAUCCGGGAAUUUCCGAAUGGGGCAACCCCUAGAACGGCCAGCUGAAUCUAUAGGCUGGCGCGAGCCAACCCAGCGAACUGAAACAUCUUAGUAGCUGGAGGAAAGGAAAGUAAAAACGACUCCCUAAGUAGCGGCGAGCGAACGGGGAAGAGCCUAAACCAAUGGUUUCGACCAUUGGGGUUGUGGGACAGCAAUGUGGAUCAGGAAUGUUAGUGGAAGUGUUUGAAAGACACGCCACAGAGGGUGAAAGCCCCGUACACGAAAACUGAACUGACCUAGCUGUAUCCCGAGUAGCACGGAGCACGUGGAAUUCCGUGUGAAUCAGCGAGGACCACCUCGUAAGGCUAAGUACUCCUGUGUGACCGAUAGCGAAACAGUACCGCGAGGGAAAGGUGAAAAGAACCCCGG
rnacentral:rRNA from 1 species